CCAGUAGCCAUCCUGGUGGUGCUUGAGCAACCUGAAGGAAGACAUUCUGAAUAAACAUAUGGUCAUCGAAGUUAGGAGCAUAAAUAUUCAAUAGGGUCCAAGACUCUGAAAACAUAUGCCCCUGCACCAAAACAAACCUGCCAGAGGGAUCAGAGAUGGUGUUGUUGACGCAGAAGGGGAUGUGUCUACUUAUCACAAUUGCAGUUCCUCUUGCUUUGAAGUUAAAAGAGGACGCAAAAACUUGUCCUACCCAUUCCCUCUUCAAUUUCUUGUGUUCACUGGCUUCACCGGUUCAGUCCGGAUAAGAGAAAACAAACAAACUGCAUCUUAUCCCCCAGAGAGACCGUCCUGGCUCAGACGUUAUUCAGUUCUUUGAGAAAAG